rnacentral:rRNA from 1 species
GACGAACGCUGGCGGCGUGCUUAACACAUGCAAGUCGAACGGAAAGGCCCUGCUUUUGUGGGGUGCUCGAGUGGCGAACGGGUGAGUAACACGUGAGUAACCUGCCCUUGACUUUGGGAUAACUUCAGGAAACUGGGGCUAAUACCGGAUAGGAGCUCCUGCUGCAUGGUGGGGGUUGGAAAGUUUCGGCGGUUGGGGAUGGACUCGCGGCUUAUCAGCUUGUUGGUGGGGUAGUGGCUUCCCAAGGCUUUGACGGGUAGCCGGCCUGAGAGGGUGACCGGCCACAUGGGGACUCGGGUACCGCCAGGACCCCCCCGGGGGGCAGGGGGGGGAAAUUUUCCGAAAAGGGCGGAGGCCUGAUGGACGAACCCCGCGUGGGGGAUGACGGCCUUCGGGUUAUAAACCGUUUUCCCCUGUCACGAAGCGUGGUGACGGUAAAUGGUUAAAAAAGCACGGGUAACUACCGG